AUUUGACAAGUCAAACCCCCUUUUCAAGGAUACUGUUAAAAAAUGGAUAUAUGGAAAACAAUCGGACAUACCCUCGGAAUGAAUGGGGAUAGUUCUAGGAAAAAGCGGAUCAACAUCCGAGAUGCCUAUCACCUAAACAGAAAAAAUGCAGCCACUAAAAGUGGAGACCCAGCUAAGUUUCUGAAGCCAUACAAAUAUGCAGGGAUCCUGGAAUUUAUGAUCCCACACCUUCAGUACAGGGAAACAUCCAGUAACCUACCAGAUGAGGCAGAUGAUUCAGAGGAGGCAAAGGAUGCAGAUGAGAGACAGCUA
ensembl:lncRNA